rnacentral:rRNA from 1 species
CAUGUCCUUUUGAUUAUUAUUUGAGGUCUAAUCUGCUCAAUGAUUUAUUAAAUUGCCGCGGUAUCUUGACCGUGCAAAGGUAGCAUAAUAAUUAGUUUUUUUAUUGAGAACUGGAAUGAAUGAUUGGACGAGAAAUAUGCUGUCUCUAUAUAGUUUUAUUUUGAAUUUUACUUUUAAGUUAAAAGGCUUAAAUUUUGUUUAAAGACGAGAAGACCCUAUAGAGUUUUACUUUUUUAUUUUUUUAUUAAUACUUGGUAUUUAAUUUAUUAAUUGGAUUUGAAGUUUGGUUGGGGUGACUAGAAAAUUUGUUAAACUUUUCUAAUAAUUUAAUUAUUGAUUUAUAAAUUUUGAUUCUAAAAUUUUUAAGAAUAAUAUUAAUUACCUUAGGGAUAACAGCGUUAUUUCUCUUUAGAGUUCAAAUUGUAAGAGAAGUUUGCGACCUCGAUGUUGGAUUAAAGUUAAUAUUGGGUGCAGUAGCUCAAUUAUUAAGUCUGUUCGACUUUUAAAAUUUUACAUGAUCUGAGU